ensembl:lncRNA
CAUUGCUGGCUGCUGCUGCUAAGUCGCUUCAGUUGUGUCCGACUCUUUGUGACCCCAUGGACUGUAGCCCACUAGGCUCCUCUGUCUCCGGGAUUCUCCAGGCAAGAACACCGGAGUGGGUUGCCAUUUCCUUCUCCAAACAUAUUGCUGGAGGAUUCUCCCAACAAGCCCGCACUUGGGCUCAGCAGAAGGGAGUCCACCCACCCUUGGCACCAGACGUAGACGAUCUGCUGGCAACCAACAGUCAGGUGCCAACUCCGGCCGUGGCUGAACAAAGCACCUCGGGGCAUGCAAUCUGACCUCAUGACGGCCCACCCCAGUUGACUGGCAGUUCUGAAGGCUAAAAGUCCAAGAUGGGUUUCACGAGGCCAACGAGAAGAUGUCUGCAGGAAUCCAGUACCUUCCGGAAGCUCGGGUAAGAAUCCCGGAGGAGCCCACAGUCCUUGACUCCCAGCCCCUUCCGCCACCUUCAAAGCCAGCCUGGGCUUUGCUUUCCAGUGCUUCUCACACUAUAUCCCUGCCUGCCUCCUCCACCUGUCAGGACCCCUGGGGUGACACUGGAUGCGUCUGAAUAAUCUACUUUGUCUCAGGAGGUGGGGAGCCUUAAUUCCAUCUGCAACGUUGCCACGGAAAGCCACAAGUUCAGAGACUCCGGGAAUUACAAUGGAGACAUCUUUGACGGGCAGGCUUCUUAUUCUGCCCUCUACCGUGUGCUAAGUCCCUUUCGUCGUGUCUGACUCUUUUGCAGCGCUAUGGACUGUAGCCCUCCCGGCUCCUCUGUCCAUGCAGAUUCUCCAGGCAAGAAUACUGGACCGAGUUGCCAUGCCCUCCUCCUCCAGGGGAUCUUCCCAACCCAGGGAUCGAACCUGCACCUCUUACGUCUCCUGCAUUGCCAGACGGUAAAGAAUCGCCUGCAAUGUGGGAGACCUGGGUUCGAUCCCUGAGUCGGGAAGAUCCCCUGGAGAAGGGCACGGCAACCCAUUCCAGUAUUCUGACCUGGAGAAUCCCAUGGACCAGAGGAGCCUGGUGGGCUCAGUCCAGGGGGUCACAAAGAGUCACACACAGCUGAAAGAGGUAGCUGUGAAGGUUUGGACAUCGGAUUUGACACUCCACAGUGCAGAGGCCAGAACAUGAAGCUGGGGUUUUCCAGCCCAAUGAGGGGACUGAGAACUGUCUCAGAGAUGAAUCUUCAGGGUGGAGAAGGAAGACAUGUCUGUGAAGAAAAGAAAGAAAAUGCAGCAGGAGGAGAAAAGGCAACCAGGAGAGAAUCACAAAAGUAAGACGUGGGUAAGGGGAAAGGUGUGAACCAUGGUUUCUGACUGGGCAAAAAGCUAUGCCUGAGAAACUCUUGACAUGUUGCAAUAGUGUACAAACAGCCCCGGAGGUAACAGGUUUAAUUCUGACCACAGCAAAGACACAUAAAACAUUGCUAUUUCUGUUUGAUAAUGUACAUUGUAUAAAACAUGGCAAACAUAUAUACAUGAUUUCACAUUUCUGUACACGUUUGAAUCUCGUCUGAAAUCCUCUACCCAUAAAUGGAGAGUCAGACUGAAGAGAGCUAUUCUAAGUAAGAAUUUUCCAUGGACUGUUAUGGCUGGAUGCAGUGAACUUGAAAUUAAAAAAAAAAAUCUCCUUGGUGGUUUCAUUUACAUUAAUGCGGUGCAUUCCUGUGAAAUGUCUGUAUCUACUGAUGAAUAAUCAACCCUUCUUAACUCUAACAAAAAGAUUUAUCACAGAAGGACCACAUCAGUGGGAGUUUGAGUUAGCAUGACUUUGGAGAGUAAUUUUUUGUCGUUCUGUAAGUUUGUUUUUAUCUCCCUUUCAGUAAGUCUUAAAAUAUUCAGUUAAUUUGAUAAUACUCUUUUUAAGAUGCAGUCUACAAACACACACACACAUACACACACACACACGGCUUCCCUUAUAGCUCAGCAGUAAAGAAUCCACCUCCAAUGCAGGAGACACGGGUUGGAUCCCUGGGUGGGGAAGAUCCCCUGGAGAAGGGAACAGCAACCCACUUCAGUAUUCUUGCCUGGGAAAUCCCAUGGACAGAGGAGACUGUUGGGCUACAGUUCAUGGGGUCACAAAGAGUCAGACACGACUGAAGCGACUAAGCAGAACUACAAAGGUAAAUCUUCUGGCCUAUUCACGAAUGGUUUCAGGAGAGACUGCAGGCAGAGAUGGCUGUCAGAAAGUCAGUGAGGCUCUUCUGGAGAGAGGCUCUAAGUCUGAGCUGGGACAUGGUGAACCAACUAGGAGCAGAUCAUACGAGACCCUAAGAAAUGGGAGAGGAGAGUUCUGAGGUUUUGAGAUGGGCCAGUGGCAAAGUAAACAAUUCAAACUGGAAAAAGAGGAAGCAGAGCUCUGUGGAGACACUGACCAGCCAGGUGGCCACUGGAAGACUCACAGAGCUUAAGGGGAGGACUGGAGAAGAGGGAGGUUUGAAAGCGAGGUUAGCUGCUGAGAUGCAAGUGCUUAUAGCAGAGACACACCUUUUUUUUUUUUGCUUCCUUUAUUGCCUCCCGAAAUAUUCCUCUAUUUUCCCCCAUGUUAAACUUUUUAUUUUGUAUUGAGGUAUAGCUGAUUAACAGUCUUGUGAUGAUUUCAGACAGACAACAAAGGCACUCAGCCAUACAUGGACACGUAUCUAUUCUCUCCCAAACUCCCCUCCCAUCCAGGCUGCCACAUGACACUGAGCAGAGUUCCCUGUGCUGUCCAGCAGGUCCUUGCUGGUUCUCCGUGUUAAAUACAGCAGUGUGUCCAUGUCCAUCCCAGACUCCCUGACUAUCCCUUCCCCCAUCCUUCCCCCUGGUGACCAUAAGGUUAUUACAGAGGAUUGAGCAGAGUUCCCUGUGCUGUCCAGCAGGUCCUUGCUGGUUCUCCAUGUGAAAUACAAUGGUGUGUACACGUCCAUCCCAAACUCUCUAACUAUAGUAUGGCAACCCUUAUAAGCAGAAUCUAAAAAGCAAUGGUAGAAAUGCACUGAUGUACAAACAAAUUCAGAAACAGAUUCACAAACUUAAAGAACGAACUCAAGGUUCCCACUUAAGGGGAAGGAUGCAGGGAAGAGACA